CAGCCAUUUUAGCUUAUUUGUCUUUUUGAUAUUUUUAAGAGUAUACCCGAACCGUAAUAGCGGCCCAUAACCAUUUCAUUUUAUUUGUUUAACACCUUAUGAACUGGAUGAAGAUUUAUUUUAUAAUAUCCAUUAUAUCAUUAUUUCAUUCGGCUUACUCUGCAGCUCAAUAUAGAAAGUUCAUUAGACUGACCGAACAAGAAUAUACUGUUCUUCCUUUUGAUAGUAAUAGAGCCUCCGCCACUCUUAAGACUACAGCACUGGAUAUAUUGAAAGAAACAUUGGGCGCAAAUUCGAAUUGAUUUUUGUUUUAUCCCUAGGUCUCGACACAACCAACUAUAAGACCCUGAUGUAUUGAUACUAAUCCGUCGGGAGAUUGCUGAAAACAAAAAAGGAACAAAUACUCAAUAAAUAAUACACUUCGUUCCGUGUCACCUUCACACGAGACUCCUUAAAAUAAUAAGAAAGAAAAUAUUUGCCCUCUAAAUCAUAUUAUAAAGAACACAAGUCAAAAGAGAAAGAGAUGACUGAGAGGCGCGCAAUUUGUGUCAUAUAAAAGGAUCAUGAUUCAUUAAAAAAAAUGAUUAACAAGACUGUUAAUUUUUUUGGAAAUCUGAAAAAAAUAAAUUAAACUGCAAGCCAUAAUUAGCCUAAUUAUAUCGUGUUAUACUCUAUCUAUUUUGGUUGGUGAAUUCAAAGAAGUGCGGUUGAUAAAUGAUAUAGAAAACAAAAAUACCGAAUCUAUUAUAACAAGACCAUCAUUUUAUUUAUUCAAUCACAGAGGACAAUAUUUAUCAACAUUAUAUGAGUGCAAUAGGACUAUAAAUAAAUAUGCAUUAAGAGAUAAUACGAAGGCAUUAAUUUUUAAUAUAGAUUAUACACCAUGAUAUGUAUUAAUUAUUAUAUAAUUAACAACUCAAUAUUUUAUUCUUAUAUAUAAAG